CAAGGAGCUGUCAGUCUGUAAGGAGCUGUCAGUCGGCAAGGAGCUGCCAGUCUGCACGGAGCCGCCAGAGCUGCCAGUCUGUAAGAAGCCGCCAGAGCUGUCAGCCUACAUGGAGCAGCCAGAGCCGCCAGUCAGCCAGACUCUUCCAGAUCCGCCAGACUCUUCCAGAUCCGCCAGUCAGCCAGACUCUUCCAGAUCCGCCAGUCAGCCAGACUCUUCCAGAUCCGCCAGUCAGCCAGACUCUUCCAGAUCCGCCAGUCAGCCAGACUCUUCCAGAUUGGCCAGUCAGCCAGACUCU
ensembl:lncRNA